rnacentral:rRNA from 1 species
AAUUUUUGGUUCUUUAGGUUUGUCCCGUUCUCUCGUAGAACGUUGUGACGAAUCUUGGAACCUUCCCGGUAGAGAAUGUUUCUGCCCUUUAUUGGGUUGGUCUCAUAAUCUACCUCUUUUACUGUGAGAAAAACAAAGUGCUCAAAGCAGGCUUUACAGCUUGAAUGCGUUAGCAUGGAAUAAUAAGAUAGGACUUUGUUUCUAUUUUGUUGGCUCUGAGGGACAAAGUAAUGAUUGAUAGGGAUAGUUGGGGGUGCUCGUAUUUAACGGUCAGCGGUGAAAUGCAUGGACCCGUUAAAGACGAACCUAUGCGAAAGCAUU